UCUUUGGCGUCAUGGUUCUAGAAGCAUGAGGUUGGGAAGUGAGCGAGAAGGGGCUGAUCUGUGUGAUGUAUAAAUGGGUACCAGUGUGAACUGUAAGAUACAGCGAGGCAGUAACGUCCCUCCCAGUGCAUUUAACAAAUUGAACUUCACAGGCCGCACGAGGCCCCUUUGCUGCUGACUUGGCAGAGAAACCAAGGGCCAGGGAGAAUGAGCUCCCUUCUUCUGGCUUCACCAAGAUGAUCACCCAAGGAAAGAAAGGAUAAUUGUAUGAAAACUGUGGGACAAUGAGUGUUUAUUAAGUGACGGCACCCCAAAUAUAUUUAUUCAUGGAGCAAAAUCCUACACUGCAACCACAGUGAAUGAGCCUUUUCAUAGUCCUGGCUUGAGACUAGACCUCUUUCUGACCAAAUCCAUCAUCGCUGGGCCUUACUGGAUAUGGGUCAUAGGACAUCAGGCCUAAUAAGGGACAUUUAAGGGACAAAUAAGGGACAUUUUUUAUCAUACAGGACAAGGGGGCACAGUUGAGGCACAUUGACAGGGGCAGAGUAUGAAGGAUGCUGCCUGCUCAAUACUGGUCCCAUGGAUAAAUGGGCAACUCCAGAGUUGUCAGUCCAGAACCCUUUGCCAAUACUAAAGUCAAUAUUAAUGCUCCCAUGCUGCACAUGUCUUUAAAUUGGCUCAAAAUCAGAUUGUCAUGGUUAACAUUUACAAGUCACUUUUUUCACUUUUGAGGAUCAACCCUGCUCUCUGCCUUCCUCAAAGCUGAACCCCAGGCGGAAACAGUAAAAUACUUCCAGUGUAGGGUGCUGCCAUUUGGGGAAGCCUGACGAGAGAUGCCUUGGGCCUGCUCUGGCAUACCAGCCCCUGCAUUUCAGGUUCACUUCAGCUAGAAUAGUUUUUGCUGAAAAUUGGGUGCCUCGUGAAGGGCAUCUUUGCAAUAGGAGCCUCUAAACUCAAAGACUGGCCUGUGGCACUGUAGCUGUGGGGACUUGUUUAAGGUCAGGGGUAGGGAGCAAUGCCAGAAGGAGCAGAACUGAUAACCCCACAUAAGCACAGGGACCACAAAGCCAGGACUCUCCAUUGGCCAAAUCAAUCUGAGUCCAUGUCUCUUCCCUGCUCUGAAAGAGAAACCUCUGAUCCAAAGGUGCUGCCAGGAAGGGGGUUAUUUCGGUCAUUAUUUCUUCUUUGCAUUUUUCCCUUUUCAUUGCAGCAGCUCAGAGGGUUUGGGAAGGGUGGGGGGGGAAGGCACUGAGCUUGCAUUCACUGCUUACUUCUGUUUUCCAAAGGCAGCCAGCUUAUGACUGAUCAGAGCCUAGCGUCUCCUGAAAUAUCAUCAGGAAUUGGAGGACAGGGCCCGAUAAGAUCAUGCAGCCUACGGCCCUAAUUGUUUCACUUAGGAAGUAGUUAGAGUUCCAGGAAGCGCUGUAUUUCCAGAGCAAUGCUGACCCGCCAGCAGCCGCUAAGCCUGGCCUGGCCCUGACCUUGGACUGAGGAUGGGGGUGGUCAGCACUUUCACAGGACUCCAGGGGGACACGAUGUAUGGCGGUGAUAAAAGAAACUCCCAGCCCAGUGCAAACUUCUCGCUUGUUUGUCUCCCCUGCCAGCCAGGCCUGGAGAAAUGCUGCCACCGGCCCCACAGAUGUGGAAAAGCUUCUUGGCUGGGGGAUACCCUUCCAUUAUCUUGGCUGAGCACCGCGGGAGCCUGGGAGGUCCAUUCCCCCAGCGACUGAGCCGUAUCGCAAAACCAAAACGAAACACAUCAAGAGAAAGACAGCAUUCAGACAGAAGCAGCACGACUGAAUUGGCUAAUUUUGGUAACUCGUUCAACAAGAAGCAAAAAAGUUUCUGCCUUAAGAUUGCAGAAGUCCAAAUCUGAGUAUCAACUCCCAA